rnacentral:lncRNA from 1 species
UAAAUAAUUAGCAUGGUUUAUUUCACAUGCAAUAAAAAAUACAGUAAAAAAUCGUGUGAGAGCUAAAGCUGUGGUUCAUCCAUAAAAAUGUUCUCAAAAGAUGUUUUAAAAGAUGGCAAGCAUUGUAUGGCCUUGUAAAUAUUAUUCUUUGAGUUAUACUGUUUAGAAAACUGUCAAUUUUUUCAAGGUUUCCCCUUUUAUUCAUGGAUCAGUCCCCUUCAGGUUUCAUAGCGUGAGCUCGGAUUUUGUAGCAUAUGUUUUUGCAAAAAUAUUUUGUAGUAUCAAGUCACUGUGUGUUCAGAUUUAGAAGUAUACAUUCGUAAAAAGGUGUCACAGUAUCAAAGUACUGCGUGCUCAGAUUUCGCAGUAUAUUUUAGUAGAAAGGUUUAGUAGUAUCAAAUCAUUGUGUGUUCGGAUUUCAUAGGUUUCGUAGUAUUUGUUCAGGUUUCAUAGCAUUUGCUCAGAUCUCGGUGUAAAUUUUUUUUCCUACUUGUUUCAGCAUACAUCCACCAAAUCGUGGAUCAGCUGGCAGCUGAGAAGGAACAGCAGCAGCAGCUUCAGAUACAUUUUCUUUAUCAUAGUACUGUGUAGCUGUUAGACAUAUUAUCGUGUCUGCUUGAAAAAAUUCAUCAUAUACAUAAUAUGAUGUCUGAGGCACAUUCUUCGUUAUUGUUGUAGAUGAUUUCAAGGAGUAGGAGCAGGAAUGGGCAGAGGUUGUGGCGCCAUAUGCGUCACUGCUAUCAAACCUCGAGCGAUGGAUCCACAGUGGUUUGGGCAAGGAGAUGCUUGAGUUGGCAGAGGAGAUGCAGAAGGAGCUACGUCGAAAUGGGGAGAUGCCAGAAGACCUGAAGGAUACCGCACAGAGCCUGACAGAGAUAGAACCAUUGUUCAUGUAGUAUACAGUGGCGCAAGUACCGAGGGCAGUGAAGGUAGAACUGUAGAAGAGGUUCUGAGUGGCAUGCUGCACCAUGUACAAUGAGCCUCGUCAGUGCACAGGAAGCUGCUGCUGCACCAGCAGUCACAGCCACAGUCGCCACUGCCUCCGCCCCUGUCUCCACCAACCUUUUUCUGGAGUCCAUGAGCCAUCCUCCUUCCAGCAUCUGGCUCAUUUGACUUGCAUUUCUCCAGGCCAUAAACAUGAAGCAAUGUUCUGGUACUCCGUGCCUCAAAUUCAGAACAGCAGAACAAGCAGGAUAAACAUACUGUCGUCCGACCCCUCCAUUUCUCAAAAUUUGUCAGUAAGUGUAAGUGCAUGUGAACGCUUUGUUAUUCUUAGCUGAGGAAAUUAAGGAGAAAGGCAAUUAUCAUUUUGUUUGUAUCAAGGACCUGACUCCUUGCCUCCCAACUAAGUAAAUGUAAGGAUAUGCAGCAUAUUGGACUAAGGUGUCCCAAUGUCUUUUCCCCAGAAAAGUUAUUGGGAAACUAUCUAGUAGACUGCACUUCAAAUAAUUCAGUACGUGUUAUGCAAAAAACUGGUUCAAAUGGCUCUGAGCACUAUGGGACUCAACUGCUGAAGUCAUUAGUCCCCUAGAACUUAGAACUAGUUAAACCUAACUAACCUAAGGACAUCACAAACAUCGAUGCCCGAGGCAGGAUUCGAACCUGUGACCAUAGCGGUCUUGCGGUUCCAGACUGCAGCGCCCUUAACCGCACGGCAACUUCGGCCGGCACGUGUUAUGCCUAUUGAAGAAAACAUAUUCGUAAAGUUUAAGAAUACUCACCAUCAGGAGCGUUACCCAUUUGUGGUGUAUGUCAACUUGGAAUGCCUCCUCGUUCUUGUGACCCACUAUGAAGGUGACCCUACAUAUUACCUUUACGGGAAAACACGUACACUGUGCUGCAAUCUAAAGUCGACCUGUCGCCUCUUGACGAUAGUCGCCUCAUGACGAUAAAAGGGUCAUUUGUGAUUACAGGAAUGAAAUUCUCCCAUACUCAAACUAUUCGUAUUUUGAGAGAGCGUAGGUGAAAAGACUCUGACGGAAUGAGAGGGCGAGAAUGAGAUUGGGUGAUACUGCAGAAUAAUAUGAUCCUUUUAUCAUAGUGUAAGUAAUUUUGUGUGUAUAUGUGUGAUGUAAAUAUUUAUUUAUUUAUGGAAAGCAUGUGUGUGAGGAAUGUGUGCUGUGUGCACUUGUAAAAACAUAUAUCUUGUAAGGGAAAUCUACACAUCACGCUGAUCGGUAAAAAAUUGUACUUGUAAAAUAUUUGCACAGCAUGUGUGUCGACAAGAAAAGCUGUAUGUCGGAAAUAUAUGUAGUUACCUUGCACAAUAUGUAAAUAAAACAGAUUUUUUAAGUUUCACUUGCCGCUAGCCAUUCAGGAUAUAUAUAUAUACGUAUAUAUAUAGUUAACCAUCCUUCAUAAUUGUUGUAUAGCAACCACAUCACUGUUACUUUUAGCAUAGAUUUAUAUACCUGACAAUUGUAAAUAUUU